UUUAAAACGUUGACAGGAAAUAGUAAUGAAACUUCUCUGCUGAAGAGAGCCGGUGGUUGGUGCAAACCGGUGCAGGAGCUUCAUGAAUCCAUCCUUGAGUGAAAUACUGAACCAUUCAGUAGGUAUUUUCGGUGAUUCCGUUACCAUCUCUAAGAGGAAGACAGCUCUGCUGUUUUCAAUUAGGGUGGCAACGCGGUAACCUCCGUCCCUUUU
rnacentral:ncRNA from 1 species